AGUUGUCUCAUUUUACAGUUACACGUUCCAGAUCUACAUGCAUUCUGGUCUCAAUUUGGACAAAGGAUAAGAAAGGCAAAUGUAGAUGCUGGCUUGUCCCCUGGGGUCCACACACUCAAGCAUGCUGAGAAGUGCCAGACAAAUCGUGAGCGUGUCCAGGCCAAAAUGGAACUUCCCUCAACGAAAAGACGCCGUUUGGAGUUGAAGAAAGAGCGGGCGGUGAACCAGGGUGCCCAGGAGGUGUUGGAAGGAGUCUCUUAUCAGUCUGGAAUUGGCCAUGAGACCAAUGCAGAUAUAGAGGCUAUUCCAGCCCCAAUACCCAAAGGAGACUUCAAACCUAUUCAGCUCACAAACCCGACAUUGGUGACGUUUGAUCUGGAGACGACAGACCUUA